GACAGAGGUGCCGAGCGUUAGGCGGAAUCACUGGGCUUAAAGCGUGUGUAGGCGGAUCUGUAAGUACCUUGUGAAAUCCCACGGCUCAACCGUGGAACUGCUUGGUAUACUGCGGGUCUUGAGCCACCUAGGGGCAAGUGGAACAAACGGUGGAGCGGUGAAAUGCGUAGAUAUCGGGAGGAACACCUGUGGCGAAAGCGGCGCACUGGACCAUAACUGACGCUGAUGCGCGAAAGCUAGGGGAGCAAACAGG
rnacentral:rRNA from 1 species